CUAAAUCCCAGAAAAAAAAAUGUUUGUACAAAAUAGUUUUGAGUUUGUACAGUCAAAGGUAGACACUGCUAUUUUUUUGAACACACCCCUUUCAACUAAUUGCCCAAUUGCACAGCCUUAAGAGCGUGCAUAUCAUGAAUGCUGGGUCUUGUUUGUUUUCUGACAAUCUACUGAACCUACUGGUAACUUGUUUGCCACGUAGCAAUAAAAAAUAUACUAAAAAUCUUGAUUAUUCUGGUUAGUCACAUUGUACUGCUAUUAUUUUGAACAAUACUGUAGGAUUGGUGGGUGAGCCGGAACCAGCGAAAAAGGAGUCUGGUGCCUUGUCGUGGCUGUGACGUUUCCUCUGGCCGUCUGCUGCAUCAGUGCCCCCAACGUCCAGGAACUAAUCCCCGGUCCUAUGUGGUUUUGACCCUAAUUCACUGCUGGGAGAGAAAACCCUGUGGAGAAGAACGUGCACCGGUGUUGUGAGACGACCGUCUUUUAUAUACAUGCCCGCUCGUGGGUUUGGACCCCUACUCCGCCGAGUGGUGACGUGUCAACAAUAGCAAGUAAGGAACAGUGUGCAUAUUGUGGGGGACGACGACUGAGUGAAGUGUUGGCUGCUAUAUGAACAUCCAGCUGUGUAGCCCUUGUGUAUGAAUACCUGUUUGUGGAGUGCUUUCAGAGGUUCGUCCCUGUCUAGAUCUCUGGUCCGUUGUCUGGAAGAGAGGAGAGGGAAGCGUUCGAGUCAUUCCUGAGUCCUACAGGUCUGAGCUUGAGGCUCUGAGUCGUAGUGGGAGAGUUUCCACGGUUAGAGGUGACCGUGUUGAGUGUUGGUCUGGGAAGUCUGCCCCGGUGAAGAAGACCACAGUUGUCGUGACAUAUACACCUUCUCUAGACUCCCGAGCUGAAAAGGGCUAAAGCCUGACGUCCACCUCUUCGAGGGUCUGGACUGGAAGGGCCCCAACGACGGUUCUCCUGCAGGAAAAACACAAAGGCAUUACUGAGAAAAACCCUGUUGAGUCACGUGAAGGAAAGGACACAAAUUACCUACAGGCUUAACUGAGAGUCCCCGUGACAGAGUCAGAAGCGACUCGGACCUAUACUCUCUGGCCCCGAGAUUGGAUUUUAGAUCACCUUUACACCUUUAAAUUUAAAUAAAGUUGUUUUAAUUAUACUCACUCACUCUCGUGUGUCUGGUCAUUGGGGUGUUCUUGGGACCUCCUCGAGGUGGAAACUAGGGAGGGGCGAGACUCACGACAUCUGUGGUCCGCUCCGACCUGUGACAUACAUGUAAUAUAAAAGUACAUAUGGCAAAGUUUUUGCAACCGCUCCAAGUCUCACCCGCAGUGAG
rnacentral:lncRNA from 1 species